rnacentral:rRNA from 1 species
AGAGUUUGAUCAUGGCUCAGAAUCAACGCUGGCGGCGUGCCUAACACAUGCAAGUCGAACGAGAAAGUGGAGCAAUCCAUGAGUAAAGUGGCGACCGGGUGAGUAACACGUGACUAACCUACCUUCGAGUGGGGGAUAACCUCGGGAAACCGGGGCUAAUACCGCAUAACAUCUUCGGGAUGCGAAGCCGAAGAUCAAAGGAGCAAUUCGCUGGAAGAGGGGGUCGCGGCUGAUUAGCUAGUUGGCGGGGUAACGGCCCACCAAGGCUUUGAUCGGUAGCUGGCCUGAGAGGGCGCACGGCCACACUGGAACUGAAACACGGUCCAGACUCCUACGGGAGGCAGCAGUGGGGAAUUUUGCGCAAUGGGGGAAACCCUGACGCAGCAACGCCGCGUGGAGGAUGAAGCCCCUUGGGGCGUAAACUCCUUUCGACCGGGACGAUUAUGACGGUACCGGUGGAAGAAGCACCGGCUAACUCUGUGCCAGCAGCCGCGGUAAUACAGAGGGUGCGAGCGUUGUUCGGAAUUAUUGGGCGUAAAGGGCGCGUAGGCGGUGCGGUAAGUCACCUGUGAAAACUCUGGGCUCAACUCAGAGCCUGCAGGCGAAACUCCCGUGCUGGAGUGUGGGAGAGGUGCGUGGAAUUCCCGGUGUAGCGGUGAAAUGCGUAGAUAUCGAGAGGAACACCUGCGGCGAAGGCGGGUUGCUGGGCCGACACUGACGCUGAUGCGCGAAAGCCAGGGGAGCGAACGGGAUUAGAUACCCUAGUAGUCC